GCAUGUGAGGAUGAUCUGGCUGUGGCAUCUGUCACCCCACUGAUCACCAGGGCUGAUCCAGCUGAUCUAACUGGCUUGGUGGGUGCCUCCUCCCUCCCUCACCCCCCCAUAUGCAUUCCUCCUGAAGUCUUGAGCUCUGUAGAAGAGGAUGACUCUCCCAGAUAGAAGCAUAGUACACCAUUCUUUGUUCAAGGGUGUCUGAUAACUCUGCUGCAUUCUUAAGUUAUCAGAUUAUUUGAUAUCCAAUACUUAAAGUUGGAUAAUACCGUAUUUGCCAGUGUACAAGAUGACUUUUUUGGCCCAAAAAACAUGCCUCCAAGUGGGGGGGUCAUCUUGU
rnacentral:snRNA from 1 species